CAGCUGGUGGAAGAGAACAGAACACGACAGUAAGACAACGGCAGUCAGGGCGGCCACCCGCUUGGGACCCACGGCCUGGCUUCUUCCCCAUCUAUCAUCACCCAGAAGGGGGUCCUGCGGGGCACACAGACGUCCCUGUGCUUCACAUGCACACCGCUAGUCCUGGCCUCUGCCCUCAGGCUGUUGAUGCAGAAGCCUGGGAGGUGCUAGAAGAUGAAAAGUGCCAGGGGAAGCUGGGGGGCCUGUGUCCCCUGGUCUUCCCCAGCCGGCCCCUGUGGCAGCUUGGACUCCACCGCUGGCCCCUCGCUCAGCAAGAGCACAGGUCACCCCCAGGAUGGGAAAGGCCGUUGUUUGCGGGGCCAGAAAGUUUCCCUCUGGGUCUACCGAGCCUCGAUUUCUUGAACGCCCACAGCGAGCCCUCCCGACCUCUGGCCGUACACGCAGGAACCGGGGCCCCUUUAUACUUGCUCCUCCUUAGCGGCCGGUUCCCUGUCUGCCCCUUUCCCUCUGUGUGACUGUCCCUGCUCGCGGCACGGGCCUGGUCCCCGGCGGACACGCAGAGUGGGGCCCGGGGUUAGGCUCCCAGCUGCGGUCAGCCAAGGCCCCAGCGGCUUGUCUCAGACUCUCACCGAGCCGCCCUUCCGCAGGCGAGUCCGUGCUGGGGCAGGGAGGGGGUUUGCAUUCUGUGAUUUUGCUCUUUACAGGUUUCCUGACCACAGUGCCGAACGAAGGGCUCUCGAAAGUCUCCAGAGAGCAAGACGGCUCGGAGGGACCACGGAGCUUCCGUCAGGUAGGAGCUGUAGUGCGGACACCAGGAGCUCAGUGUCGACACCGCCGUGGUCUGCACUAAAUCAGGGGAUCUUUUUUGUAUGAAAAUUUGCAUCUGUCCCGUGAUAAAUGUCCCACUUUGAAAAACCGUGUGAAGGCGAAAGAGAAGAAUCUACGUGUGUUUUCUGAUGGAGGCGGUUAGGGUCACUCUCAAAUUAGUGCCCGAAGAGAAUGCUCUCGGAGUGCUAAGGGUCCUCCCUGAACCGGCUGGACCAUGCAAAAGGGGCAUUUUCUAGGUCAGAAAUGGCUCAAGUUACUCUUCUCCCAGGAGGUAAGGAAGGCUUUCUUUAAAAAGUCCCUUAGCCCUUCCAUCCCUGCCAUGGGCCCAGAGAUGCUGGAGGAGAACGGGCCAUGACAAGUCCCCACGCUGUCCGUGAAACCAGUGAUUUCACAUACAGAAGACUUAAAAAUAGGAUCGCUAAUGGCCAGAAGUUUUGAGUCAAAUAUUUAAGGCUAAGGAAAUGAUAUACAUCUAAGCAUUCACAAACACUUUUUAAAAAAUCAUCUUUAGGCUGUUUUCAAACCAUCAGGAAGACCAGUGCGGCUAAACCUUGGUGUUUAUGAGAAAACUACUCCAGUGGGCAGUCCUGGGCAAGUUUCUCAUUAUGUUGUAAGAAAAGAUGUUGAAGCCAAGCCCCAUGGGAAAAACAAGAAGCACAAAUGAAACCAUCCUCUCUCCUGAGAAAUCUUGUCUUUAAUUUUAAUGAAAAGUACCCACCCCACCCCCCCACCGCCUUGCUGAUUCUGCCAGGAACAGGGUUCCUCAGCAUCUUGGCAAGAAGCACUCAUUAAAGUCCUGACUUGGGAGGCUGCCUCUCAAUUUAAUUGACAGGAAGAGCAAUGGCCCUUCUGCGGCUUGUCAAAAUGAACCCUUAGCUGCCCAUCGCAAGUAUCCCAUUCAUUAGAAAAUGGGUUUGAAGGGGUUUCCAACAAGCCAGAUUUUAUUGAGUUAGUCUGAUGACUUUAAAAUGUCUGGAUUUUGUUGCGUUUUCCAGGAGAGCUGAAGUUUAAGCAGUUGGUCAUUUUAAAAGCCCGGAUUGAAGAGUGGGACAUGGAAAUUAAUUGGACUACAGGGCAUACCCAAUAUUUUGGAUAAAGACUUGAAUGGUACAAAACUGAAAAGAAAUUGAAAAAAAGGUCUGUAAUCUUUUGAUGUCCAGAAGAUGGAAUAUAAUGCACUGCUACUUGGUAACCCAGUUUGAAAAGUUUCCUUUGUUCCAUACUUGAAAAUACAACAAAAAUCUGUAUUACAACUAAGAGUGUCCAGAGGGCUGCACAGGAGACUAGAGGUUCCGCGGGGCAACGGAAGGGGACGGUACCAUAUUGUCGGAUGUCCACGCAGAUCUGCUCC